GCGGGGGUUCCCAAGUGGCCAAAGGGGGUAGGUUCAGGUCCUACUGGAUUAGUCCUACGUGGGUUCGAAUCCCACCCCCCGCACCA
rnacentral:tRNA from 1 species